AUUGAACGCUGGCGGCAGGCCUAACACAUGCAAGUCGAAUGGUAACAGGAAACAGCUUGCUGUUUCGCUGACGAGUGGCGGACGGGUGAGUAAUGUCUGGGAAACUGCCUGAUGGAGGGGGAUAACUACUGGAAACGGUAGCUAAUACCGCAUAACGUCGCAAGACCAAAGAGGGGGACCUUCGGGCCUCUUGCCAUCGGAUGUGCCCAGAUGGGAUUAGCUAGUAGGUGGGGUAACGGCUCACCUAGGCGACGAUCCCUAGCUGGUCUGAGAGGAUGACCAGCCACACUGGAACUGAGACACGGUCCAGACUCCUACGGGAGGCAGCAGUGGGGAAUAUUGCACAAUUGGCGCAAGCCUGAUGCAGCCAUGCCGCGUGUAUGAAGAAGGCCUUCGGGUUGUAAAGUACUUUCAGCGGGGAGGAAGGGAGUAAAGUUAAUACCUUUGCUCAUUGACGUUACCCGCAGAAGAAGCACCGGCUAACUCCGUG
rnacentral:rRNA from 1 species